rnacentral:rRNA from 1 species
UGGGGAAUCUUGGACAAUGGGCGAAAGCCUGACCCAGCAACGCCGCGUGAAGGAUGAAGUAUUUCGGUAUGUAAACUUCGAAAGAAUAGGAAGAAUAAAUGACGGUACUAUUUAUAAGGUCCGGCUAACUACGUGCCAGCAGCCGCGGUAAUACGUAGGGACCAAGCGUUGUUCGGAUUUACUGGGCGUAAAGGGCGCGUAGGCGGCAAUUCAAGUCAUCUGUGAAAUCUCCGGGCUUAACUCGGAACGGUCAGAUGAUACUGCUUUGCUAGAGUGCAGAAGGGGCAAUCGGAAUUCUUGGUGUAGCGGUGAAAUGCGUAGAUAUCAAGAGGAACACCUGAGGUGAAGACGGUUUACUGGGCUGUAACUGACGCUGAGGCGCGAAAGCAUGGGGAGCAAACAGGAUUAGAUACCCCGGUAGUCCCUGAGCGGGCUGGCAAGGCGCAU